rnacentral:rRNA from 1 species
UACGGGGGGGGCAAGCGUUGUUCGGAAUUACUGGGCGUAAAGCGCGCGUAGGUGGUUUGUUAAGUUGAAUGUGAAAUCCCCGGGCUCAACCUGGGAACUGCAUCCAAAACUGGCAAGCUAGAGUAGGGCAGAGGGUGGUGGAAUUUCCUGUGUAGCGGUGAAAUGCGUAGAUAUAGGAAGGAACACCAGUGGCGAAGGCGACCACCUGGCUCAUACUGACACUGAGGUGCGAAAGCGUGGGGAGCAAACAGG